AUGGAGUUGGACGCAGAGAUGGUCUUGCUAGCUUGAGCUCAUCUUCUCCACCUUUCCUCUGGGUCGCUUUGCUGUGCGCGACAUGAGGCAGACCGUGGCCGUCGGUGUCAUCAAGUCAGUUGACAAGAAGCUCGCCUCCGGUGGAAAGGUCACCAAGUCUGCACAGAAGGCCGAAAAGAAGAAAUGAAUUCACAUGCAGGACGUCCAACAAAGAGUCACGUCUCAGCAGCAGCGGCCCGCACCAUCCCUUCUUCUUCCCUGCCACCCAGCGCCGUCUGCUCUGAGGCAGAGCUCUCUACUUAAGGACUGGCUUAUGCUGAUUAAAACCCAUCGGAAAAGUUUCCGCAGGAAAGGAAGGCUCGUGCCUUUUAGGGAAAGCUGUGAUCAUAAUUAAGUUGAAACCAAAACAAUAAAAAUCUUAAACAUUG